AAACAGAAACGUGCUCCUAUAGUAUACAACUAACGAAGAAAAGAGAUCGACGAAAGAAGUAAACGAAGAGUUUAGGCAGAACAGGAUUUGACUUUGAUGCUACGUUCUAACUACCACUAUCCCUAUGUUCCUGAAUUCCAUAAUGGACUGAAGAAUCCUGUGUUGCAAUACUCACAGUGUUACGGGUAGUUCUUAACAUCGGACUCCAGACAGAGACACAAAGACUGCACACAUGGAAGAAAAACACCGCGACACGAUCGCUGGUGUUUGCCAAAUUGCUUCGUUUGAUGUACCAUAACUGGGACAGUCACCAGACGUCAUAGUGGAAGGAUGUCGAAUGGUCAUCAGGGUUCGGACGAAGCCCCGAGUUCAUACGGAAGGGAAAGACGAACGAACACUUGAAGGUUUCUUCGAGGACGCGAAGACGACCGGACCAAGGAACGAGGUCUUCCGGGUUAGGUCAGGUUAUGGUUGGGAGCAGUGAGUAAUUGAAUGGACAUUGAGGCACUGGGGACACCGCAAACAACGAGCCGAGCGAUAAAGAGGCGCCGAUUGCGGUCUGGCGUGACGAGCAAGGGAACACCGAGCCGAAGCGUGUCUUGAACAACACCUGAACACAGCAGAGAAUCGCGGUAACCCGAACUUACUACCGAGGUGAACCGGCUGCGACAUCAUCGAGCAUUUGUAGUACAGUAGGCAGAUAGGAUGGAUGGUGUGUUUUCGCGUUAGAACGUUACACGCGAGUGUGUGCCAAUUGUGUACAGUGCUUCUCUCCUCAUCGUUAGCCCUUCUCCUCUCCUACUUCGUCGACCAACUCCUCCUACCGUACCACUUCAACAUGGAUUUGGUGUACAUAAGACAGAUUCACGGCCUGCCUGCCGAUGUCUGGAUACCUUAGAUUUAUAGCAGUAGUACCUGCGACUACACCGCGCAUUUUUACCACCAUCGUUUCCACCACCUUUGCCACCUCUUAGUUCCAUUUCUUACCACCAUCGUCGUCGUGUUUCUCCUGCAAAUGUUUUGCUCGUAGCGUAUACACUGUUAUGACGAUAAAACGUUAUCCGUUUUAAUCCAACGCACUUUAAUUACGUUCAUCCAUACUUCUCAGGCUUGCAUUCGACACACCGUUCGAUGUUAAUUGACAGAGUGUAUCCUCACUCUUUACCGAUCUCUGUUAAACACCCAGUCAAAGUUUUCAAAGAGUACACACUUGACUACACAUCUGGCAAUUAACGUGCACCAGACUGGCUCCAACUCGAACGCUGUUGCGUUCAAUACCGUGACAUUCAAUUCCUAGCAGCACACCGAUUGUAAAUCCUCGUCAAUUUCCAUUCAUUCUCUUAUUACAUAAUCCUGACGUUCAUUUGACGUUACAAGUUAAAGAUACACUCUUGAAGAAAAUUAGGAUUUUCAUCACUCGGACCGAGGUAAUCACUGAUUUUCUCUUCAAUUAUAAGCGUUCAAGCGAAGGGUCAAAGUACACAACCCUAAUGUUCGGACCAUGAGUACAGAGUCUCAUCGAUCUCAUGAAAAUUUCACACGACUCGACACCCUGAAACUUACUACGUAAAAUAUUUCAAGUUUAUCGAUGUAAAUGGUUUGAAAAAAAUUCACUCGGGACAAGUAAAGUGCGCGACGUUGGACACUUGCCAUCGAGACUGCGCAUACCUGUGUUUAAUACCGAGCAUACACUGCCUAAAAGUAAUAAUAAUAACAACAAUGACAAAGAAGUGGUAAAAGUAAAAGUGGAAUUGUAGCAGAGGGCGGCAGCAGAGCCGACCAGUCGCCAAGAGACAACGUUGCUCCGAGGAACGGCAUCAUGGCCGCCACUGUCAAAGGCCGUUUCAACGCGGGUUGCCUGUUCUCCUCUCUGCCCGCCUCUCCGCCGGUUACGUAACCUGUGACAUUACCGUACACGCACCCAUACAACCGCACCUUCUACGAUCUCGGCUCGAAGCGCGUUAUAGGCAAGGUUGUUUUUUUACCUGUUACUAUACACCGUGCAUGGAUGGGUGCGUAUUUUUCCUCCUUUACAACUCCACCUCUCGAUUCUACGAUGUGAUUUGUGAAUCUUUUAAUACCGCUCCUCUGAUCAACGUUAUAUACCUCCAUGAAUUUGUAUUGGAAUUUCCUUACCGAGUUUAUCAAACCGAUUGAAUUCGUAUAUUUCUGGGUAACCAGAGUGAAUUACAGCUGACUUUUAUUGAAAAUACAUUCCGUGUUUUCUAAUCGAUGCAGAACAAAAAGUUCUUUGUCAAACUCUUUUAAUUUAUCGAUCAUCGUCAGCAUCCGGCGAUGGUUUAAGAUCGCGUAAACUUUUCGAAACAAGUUCAGGAUUUUUCAAGUUUGGAAAUUCAUUCUAUUUCAAUUUCUGGGGUAUUUAUUUAGACUUUCACUUCAAAGUCUCUACUCGAUAUAAAUUACAAACAGAAGAAUCCUGAUGCGCAGAAUAUUUAAAAAAAAAAAAAAAAAAAGGCCCAUACUAUUUUCUAUUUGGAUUUGAAAUCUCUCACAAAUGUAGAUACAUUUCACGGUUGAUGCCGAGUAAUUUUCGUCUAAUCGAGAUACGAGCAAGAUAUUAUCUACCUACUCGUUACUCCAAUCGCGUCUCGAAGUGUGCAAUACAUACAAAUUGCUGGCAAUAUGCUUCUAUAUACGAGAUACACACGUCUCGUUAUCGAAGUAAUUAGAAAAAACGGUACUUUCAUAACUGGCGCAAGAAAAAAAAAACAAAAAAAAUAUAUAUAUACCGUGCGUAUAUCGAAACGAGUGAAACGCGCAAUUUGUAAUCAACAAGAGAUCCCCAUCUUUUCCCAACUUUGUUGCACUGAAAAAUAAUCCCGAUAAAAUCCAAACAGAAGCGGUAUUAUGGGUAAAAUAUUUCUUCGUCAUUUCUUUUGCGCAUCGAUUUUAAACAUUAUUUUUUCUUUUAUAAAUAAAAAUAUUUCCAUGCUUCUUAUUUUCACUCAUCUUAUCAAUGUUGUUAUUAUCAAAAUUACGAUUACGUAAAAAUUACACACGAAUGAGACAAAUAUACGCAUAUGCAUACCCUUACAUGUAUCGUGAACGAGAAAUGCGGAUCUAAAUAAAUGACGUACGGAAAACCGUGUGAUAGAAUAAUUAUUAUCAUUAUUAACACGCAACAUGCACUAAGCGUGUAAGAAAAACAGUGGGGGAUUAUUACUCACUCGGAUAUUUGUCCACGCAGCAAUGACGUAUUUAAAUCGAUACGUGUCUCUGCAUAUCUGUAUAUACAUAUAUCUAUUGAUGUAUAGGCUAUGCUAUGAAUAGCAUGUAUAGUUACGUAUAAAUGUAACGCUACUGCAAACUUGUCAAGAAACUGCAGCAGCAGCAGCAGCAGCAGCAGCGCAGCAGCCAGCCAAGCUGCAAACGAGCCAGCCAGCAACUGCACUGACCUUCGUAUUAUACCUGCCUACAUAUUACGCAUCGCACGAUAACGCAGCAGCAGCAGCAGCAGCAGCAACGUAUUGCAUAAACACGCAAUUUGUAAUUUGCAAUUUCGGCUUUGGCGGCGAAUUGUACGUAAGGCGGUAGCUUACUGUUUCCGUUCGACGUUUUUUAAACCUUGAACCCUUGGCGAACUUUAUUAUUUUUUUAUCAAUUUCCUUAGUUUUUCGUCGAAAUUUUAUUGUGUUUUUCAUUUUUCAAUUUAAAACUGAUCACGUUUGGAUGAAAAGACAGAAAAAGAUGACAAAACCAAACGUCCUCGUAAGGUUCUUUUCAAGUUCGAUGAAAAAUCUCAGCACGCACACACGUCGCGUUUGUAUUUUAAAAACGUCGAUCAAGGAUCGAGUGUAAGGACGAAAGGAAUGAAAAUCCUGCCACCUCGUCCAGCCUCGUCGUUGGAGAGACUGUGUCUCCGUGCAGGAUCUCCUGCGUCACUUGCCCUGUUUCAGCCCCGCCAUCGAAGCUGUUGCAACCCCCGACAACGAACGAGGAGGAGGAGGAGGAGGAGAGAUAGAGAGAGACUGAAAAAUCCGUACGAAAUAACAACAGAUGCAAUAAAAUUGCGAAAUGCAAUGCCCGAGAGCGCAGGUUUCAUACGCAGCCUCCUGUAUUCCUGUAUCCAGUAGCCAGGCAACCAGGCAGCAGCAGCAACAUGUAGGAGUAUUGCAAAGGGAAGAGGGAUGGGA